rnacentral:rRNA from 1 species
UACGUAGGCAGCGAGCGUUGUUCGGAGUUACUGGGCGUAAAGGGUGUGUAGGCGGUUGUUUAAGUUUGGUGUGAAAUCUCCCGGCUCAACUGGGAGGGUGCGCCGAAUACUGAGCGACUAGAGUGCGGGAGAGGAAAGUGGAAUUCCUGGUGUAGCGGUGAAAUGCGUAGAGAUCCGGAGGAACACCAGUGGCGCAGGCGGCUCUCUGGGUCGACCCUGACGCUGAGGCGCGAAAGCGUGGGGAGCGAACGGG